UCUCUCCACCUUUUCCAUCUCUAUACUUUAAAGAUGGAAGUCUGUGCAUGGGGGGGAAGAGGGAAAAAGAGCCUGUUUUUAACUUCCUUGCUAUCCACCACAAAAUAAGCAAUCCUUUUCUUUAGAGGACUUUCUUUAUCUAUUGCACACCACACUACAUCUUUGAGCAAGUGCCAAAUUUGUACCGAAGUAUUGACCCAGUUGAUUUUUUUUCCCCUUCCUUUCUCCUGUUCCUUCUUAAAUUAGGACAGUGUUAUAUCUUAGACAAUCCCUUGAAAAAACCUGAAAUACCAGCAGCUGGUGAGAUUUGACUUUUUUUUUUUUUAAUGGAAACUGUAGGUGCUGUUCUCAGGUGAAAAGAGAGAGAGAGAGAGACAUAAGAAAUUUAGAGAAAAAAAUAUUUUCUGAUCUUGGAUUUUUGUGUGUAUGUAUGUGUGUGAUUAUGGUACUAAUAGGAAUAACGUUGGACCAUUGUGAGUUAAACCCACAUCUGGGGAUGAAAUCCCACAUCCUCCUAAGUGACUGGUCUGGAAGCAACCUUGACCUUGACUUUGCACUUCAAAUGACAACUUAACCAAUAUAGGGCUCAGAAAUUGUAUUUUUAAAUUACUAAUAUGAUUAUUAUUGGAUGGAUCAGGUGGCCCUGUGUAAUAGAGGGGUGCAUGUAUAACAUGGAAGCUACUAGCAAACUGCUCCCAGAUGUCCCUUCUCCCUGCUCAGUUGGUUCCACUAACAUUUGCUACUUAAUAAUUUCUGUUUGUCUUUCCUGUUGAUAACUUCGAGCAAAACAAUCAUUGUUUUCCUUGAAUACAUUUGCCAAUUUUCCAGAAAUACAGAAUUUGUGUAUUUCUUCAACAUUCCAUCCUUUCCUGAUGAGGAAAUGGAACUGAUAAUUUUCAAAGGUAUUCUUCAUCUCUCCAUGAAAUGAGGGGGAGGCCAUUUGCAUUUCAGAAUUGUGGGCCAUGUACAUCUCGUGCCGUAAAAAGCAGGAUUUGAUUAAAAUCACGGCAGCCCAACACGACGGAACCUGGCUGAACCCAGCAAUCCCUGCACCGCUCUUUUCUUGCUGUAAGAUGAAGCCACUGAAGUCCGGUUUUUCAUUCCAGCAGAGGAUGUGCUCAGAGCAACAACUGAUGGUGACGGGGCUGCUUAGUUAGACUUCACCAGCCAAGUGCCAGGGCAGUCGUAGGGCUCGUACAAACAAACGCGACAUCAUUUAAAGUCAACCAGCACUGUUUGUGCGGAAGCAUCAGACAGUAAAUACUCCCACCAGUAGCUUGGAUGUGCUAUGGUUCCAGUCAUCAUUUUCCUAUCCCACCCCCCCCCCCAAAAAAAUGACCUAAAGUUUGAUUUUUACAUAUAAAUAAGAAAAAAAUACUUUUUAUUUUUCUCUCUCUCAAAAGACUUGCUCUGGGGUUUUGCUUGGAGGAACUAAUCAUAUCCUGCAUGUCAGAGAUUUUGUUUUUGUUUGUUUUUCUGUUUGUUUUUGAUGACUGUAUUUUCAUUUGAACUGCCUCUUUUUGCUAGUGUUGUAAUAAUGAUGAUGAUAAAAUAAUAAUAAUAAUAAUAGUAAUAAUAAUAAUAAUGGUCAGCUGUUCCCAGAUUAGUAAGUUAUGUAUAAUUUAUUUCUCCCUUUCUAUUUUAUUCUGCUCUGAUUUGGAAGUGCAGCCAAUAAGUUGUUAGAUAUUUAAAACAAAUUUCCAUCUCCAACAUAUAUAUAUGUAUACAUAUGUAUACAUACAUAUAUAUGUACACACACACAUGCACACACAUACACAAUGUCAUUUCUCCUUCCAUAAGUUUUAUCCUUUCAAAAAAUUUGGCCCCAACAAUGUCAAGUUCUGGUAUUUAAUACAUAUGAGUGAAUUAAUAGGAGGGUCGUGUUCAAUCUUAAUUAACUUAUGCUCUCAUCACUCAUUUUAGUUAUUUAAUUGCCACAGUCAUCUAGAGCCAAUUUUUUUGUUUUUGUUUGUUUUGUUUUUAAGCACUCUGGAUAAAAAAAAAUAGACACUUGUUUUUAUAUGGUUAUUAUGUACAAUGUGAAAACAGAUUUUUAAAAAUUUGUUCUGUCUUUGUUAACAAAUUUUUUCUGACUUCUGUGGGUUCACCUCUCACGUUUGCUGGAUACUUAUUUCCACCAUGUUAUAAAGAUGCUUUGUUUUCAUUUCAUGACUUUGGGCUACAAGAAUACUUUGUUUUAGCUCCAGGUAGAAGCCACUGAGGGCAUUUACGGCUGAAACCAAUUCUAAUCCAUUUACCAGAGAAUUGACAAAACCCUCUGUUUGGCCUUUUUGUUUGUUUGUUUUAUUUGAAGGGGAAAAUGCAAUUGUUAGUGGUGACCUGUAACUGCUGAAAUUCAGAAAUUUAUUUUCAUUUUACUUAGGUUUACAUCAGAGAGACUAAACUGCGUGGACUGAAACAGAAAUCAAGUCUAUAGCCCUGUAUUACCUUGUCUUCUUCUGACAUCUAAUUCACUGGGUGUCACGAUUUUUUUUUUUUUGCCUUAAUUUUCCCCAAAAGAAAACAAAAAAUCACAUUAAUGUUUAAAGUGCUUUGAAGUCAUUUGAUAAAAGGUGCUCUGAAUGGCAGCCUAUUGGGUUAGCACAUUGCCUUUUUGGCAUUUGAUUGGCUUAUAAUUUUAUAAAGGAUCCUAAAACCUUGUAUUCUUUUGUUGGGCCCCAUGAUGACCAAAAAAGGAUAAAGGAGAGGAAAUGAAAGUCAGAUCAACUCAAAUGAACAGAAAGCUUCCCUCCUCUCCUCUUUCCUACCUUCCUGUUUGCAUUUCACAUUCCUUUCUCUCUCUCUCUCUCUCUCUCUCUUUCUUUCUUUCUCUCUCUCUCUCACACACACACAGACACACACACACACACACACGCACACACAAGCUCACCCCAGUACUGAAUACUUGCCAGAAUUCUGUUUCUUAUGGCCGUUUUGAUCAGUUCUUCUAAAAAUAGUCAUGUUUUAAUAUGAAUCUAAGAGACUGUCACUGGAGAAAAUAGGCUAAAGUUACUCACUUAUCAGUUACUAGUAAUUUGGCUAGUUACUGCAAUGAAUAAAAUACACGGUGGUUCUUCAGUACACUUAUACCUAAACUAGUUAAGUCAAUUUUUAACGUUUAUUUGGCAUCUGCAGUUGAGUUAACCAUGUAUAAAAAUCCCUCCUUCCAAAGACUAUAGUCAUUAUUGACACCAAAUCCUCUUAUAAGGAACAAAUGCAAAAGAAUUUCUUUGGUGAAAUGAUUUUGUAGAUUUGAUUUUGGAAUAGACUUUUUAACCUUCAUUCACUUAAAGAAAAUUAUCAACUCUUUUAUGGUCCAGUUUCAGAUAUUUUCUUAAUCCAGAAGAUGUGACUGUUCCCAGAAGAAACUUCUUAUGCCACAUUUAAAACAUCAAAAAUAGUUACGUUUUCAUUCAUUCUAAUGGGUAAAUUAUUUGAAUUGUAAUAACUGUAUAUCUACAAACAGGUUUAUAAAAUAUUUGUCUAUCAAGUUAAUAGUAAAAAAAUGAUGGCGUCUGCAAGGAAAAAUAUGAAGCCCACUUAAAGUGGUUCAGAGAUUUCUUUUGUCUUCUAGGGCAAUAGGUUUUUGUUUAGACAGGCUUUUUCAGUAUUUAAUUUUAAAGUUUCCUAUAACUGUCAGUUUCCCAGGUUGAAGAUGACGUUGAGUUUUCUACUGAUCGAUGCUUGUCCUCCCCAGUGUUUCUGUCACUGGCUCACUAAAACAGUAUUUAUAUAGCUCCACUGGCUUUAAAGCUCUUAGUCCUUCUAACAUUUGGGAUUUUACAAGGAAAAAUGGGAAAAAGUAGAAAAGAGACAAUCAAAUGCCUGGAGCUUAAAACAAAGUAUGUGCAACCUACCAUCUCACUUGAAAUUUAAUAAAAUAAAUAAUUAUGUAAAUAUAACAUAGAGUUAUAGAUUUAUAUUUUGUUCAUAACACAUAGUGUAAUAUAAGUUGUAUAUUUUCAUGUUUUUGGUUUUAUGUUAUCAUUCAUGCCACAAUAAAAAAUAAAACAGGAGUUUAUGUACUCUUAAAAAAAAAAGAUGUGGGUUGCCACCAACCUGUUUUUUUUUUCUUUUUUUUUUUUUUGAUUUUGUUUUUUGUUUUUGCAUUCUCUUUUUUCAGUAUUACUGCCAUGCAAGGCACCAAUAAAAACAGCAAAUGUGUUCU
rnacentral:lncRNA from 1 species